rnacentral:misc_RNA from 1 species
GAAAGGUACAUACGGCUACAUAGACCCGGUAUACAUGGCUACAAAUAAGUUUACAAUGAAGAGCGACAUCUAUAGUUUCGGCAUAAUCAUUUUUGAACUAAUCACAGCCAUUCAUCCACACCAAAAUUUAGUGGACUAUAUUAAUCUCGCUGGAAUGAGCCCUGAUGGGAUUGAUGAAAUAAUUGACAAGCAACUAGCUGGAGAAUACAGUCUAGAGGAAGCAAGGAAGCUAGCUGAUAUCGGUCAUAGAUGCU